rnacentral:lncRNA from 1 species
ACGGUGUUCUCAAGACUCCUCCAACGGACGAACCUCCACAACGCCAUCCGAACUCCACUGUGAGUCGAUCCUCUGCCAGAUUCCUCAUGAAAUCGGACCUCUCCGACGGACGAUUCUCAGACGAGCUUCUACAUCAGGCAAAUCCCAGACGGACUUCUCUAGCAAUCAGACUCCUACCGAACUUCACCAAUAGAAAGUCCCCGUCUGAGCUUCC